ensembl:lncRNA
CUUUAAGUGCCAAGAGUCAUGCUUUCCAGAGAUUAUGCACUGAAGGACUUGGAAUGAAGCAGUCUGUAGGGUACCUGCCUAGAAUGCAAAGAGCUGUAUGGGUUUGAUCUUCAGUCCCACAGCAACUGGGCAUGAUGGCCCAGACCUGUCAUUCCAGCACUCUGAAGGUACAAGGAGGGACUGGAAGUUCAAGGGCAUCCAUGGGCACAAAUGAAGUCAAGCCUGGACUAAAGGAGAUUCUGUCUCACAGAUUCCUGAGCCAGGACCUGGAAUUUACCACCAACUUCCAAGACAGAAGAGCUUGCCCCAUAAGACAUGACUUCAACCCUUAGAACUCUUCAAGCAGGCUAUGUCUUACUAAAGACAAAAGCAUCCAUAACUCCAAGCAAAAAGAGCCAGCACAGCCUCAUGUCCCACAGAGAAGAAACCCUAGAGAAGAAGAUAGCGUACUGGGCUCUGAGCACCUUCACUAUUCUUUUGCCUUUUGUGUCUGUAAACACAAGGUUUACACAGCACAUUCCCCAUGGUACACCAGGGUGGCCGGUGAUAAAUUGUUGCCUGGUGAGGCUGAGUGGACACCCCAGCCCCACCCCUGAGUGUGUCAUGGCAGAGAAAGAAAGCCCCCUUCAGGGAAGACAUCUGUGCAGAUGGCCCACCGCAUGAAAGCCAUCCAUUAAACAGCUCUCCAGACAUUGCUUUUCUGGUCAAGCAACAAGUGAAAGAAUCCCACCCCUGACAUUGACAUUGGCACUUGAAGAACACUAAAGAGGAAGAUGACAAGGGUGGCCAUGGGUUCUCCUGGGAAAUGCGUUGGCUUGAAGUUCUUAUAGCUGCUGAGCAGUUGCUGUUGAUUUUUCCUCUUCAGAGUUAAGAAUUCUCAGCUUCAGACAUCCAAGAUCACAGAAAUAAAGGUUUUUAUUGUUACUAUUUAAAGAACAUCACACAGGCCUUCAUGCAGUUGUCACAGCCCUUAAGCCUAGAGGGACCCUAGCUUGAUUUAGACAGUGCUUCUCCUUUUAUGUCAGCUUCCCUGUCCCAGGCAGGCUCAAAUUCAUGGGCAUUCUCCCUGAAAAGUUACUGCUGUACACACACACACACACACACACACACACACACACACACGCGCGCGCGCGCGCGCACUCGUGCACAUAGUGUGCCUGACCUCCGUCUCUCAGAAGUUCAGCAGGUAUAGGCCUUGUGUGGUGGUUUGAAUGAGAAUGGCCCCCAUAGGCUCAUAUAUUUGAAUAUUUGGGUCCCUGUUGGUGGAACUGUUUGGAAAAGAUUAGUAGGCGUGGCCUUGGUUGGAGGCAGCUUUGAAGUUUUUAUCAAAACUAUUCCCAGUUAGCUUGUGAGCUUGUUCUCCCAUUCUCCCCGACACAUAUCCCUCUUGCUCUUGCUCUGCCUUGUGGUGGUUGUGUCAAGAUGUGAACUCUCAGCUACUGCUCCAAGUGCCAUGCCUGCCCGCCUGCUGCCAUUGUUCCCCACCACGGUGGUCAUGGGCCCAACUUCUGGAACUGUAAGCUCCAAAUGAAUUCUUUCUUCUAUAAGCCGCCUUGGUCAUGGUGUCUUAUUGUGGCAAUAGAAAAGUAACUAAGACCCCUGUUUAGUAUUUGGGUGAGAAAAAAAGAAGGAAGGUCAAUGUGUAGUGUCUUCUGUAACCAGUGGCUCUUAAACUUGACUGGGGGCAACUCUAUGGCCGAAUGAAGAGUGUCUGCUGAAUUGUCUACAAAGCACUGCUGAAAGUGGA